rnacentral:lncRNA from 1 species
ACACAGAUGAAUACAGAAACCAAGAUGGAUGUGUGGAUAAUCCGGCGCCACUUCGCUACUGUGGGCUCUUCGAGAGAACCAUAGACUAGGAAGCAGUUAUGGUGGCAAAUGAACGCUGGAACACAAAAGAAAACCUCAUUACUCGGGAAACAGCAGGACUGUGUUUUCUACUUUGAAAAGGGUUCAAAGGCAAAUAAGCAUCCACGAGCAUGGCACACUUCUAUUGCCACGUUUGAAUGAGACUCAGGAGAGUGUAUGGAGGUGGACAAGGAGCCCACUGGAGAGCACCGGAGGGGGAAGAGCAACUAAGGGCAAUUCUCGAGAUGAAAACUCAGCCUUCACGUUUGUUAUUCAUUGUCUGAAUGAAGAGGACACAAGCGAG